rnacentral:lncRNA from 10 species
CUGGUUUUGUGUGUUACAGGUAAUGAAUUAGUUUAAUUUUCAACUUCUAGACCUCCAGUAUUACAUUGCUUUAUCAUACGUUACCGGGAUCCUAAAAAACAAAUACAUAUACAAAAACAGAAAAUAAACAUCACCUCCACAAGUGGUUACUGUGCAUUAAUCCAGAAUGGGUGGUGAUCGGGAUGAGUUGGGGGGUGGGGUUCAGCACCUAUUAGAAAGACUGCAACUACUCUUGUGGUCUAAUGGAACAUAGGUUUUUCUUUAGGAGAGAUUAAUCGGGAGUGAGGUCUGCCUAAACCUGAGAUGAGAAGAAUUUGUCUCCUGAGAAUAAUGAUGGAUAUCCCUCAAGAAUUGAAGAUGGGCCAGAAAGAAGAAAGCAUUGUGGCUUGGUUGAUGUACAGAAAGAGCUCUUACUGAAUCCAGUAGCAUUCCCAGUGCUGUUGAAGGUGUAAAUCACUCUAAAGGCUUUGGUGUAUGCAGUCCUGGAUUCAAAUCCUAUCUCUGAAAGCUUGAAGAAGAGAGUUGACAUUUCUGGAGCACACAAAUCAACUCAUUAAAUAAUGACAAAUGAAUAUCUUUUCUGACUUCGAUAGCACACAUACUAGAAUUAGAAAAUACCAAGGAGAUCAUUGUGGCCCCUGGGCAUGGGUGAUCUAUAUCAUCGUUCCCCAACCCCUGGGCCAUGGACCUGUACUGGCUUAUGGCCUGUUGGGAACCGGGUCACACAGCUGGAGGGUACACAGAAUGAUUACAUUUGUUCCUUGCUGUUAGGAGGAACAAGCAGAAGUUCCAUAUGCCACCUUCUUCUGCUACUGCAGCAACAAGUGAUAUUCGAGACAGUGAAGCCCCCAUCAAUUCUAGACUGAUAUGGAGCAGAGACGACCUCCUAUACACACUCCCACUACUGACCCAUGGUGGACAAGAAACCAGAAAUUUCAUUAUGUUAAGCUUCUGAGAUAUUUCUGUUUUUUCCACUGAACAUUAUUCUAAUUUAUGUGAUAUAUUUGAUUUUAGAGCUAACUUGUUCUAAAGCUUACAGUCUUUUGCUGGGCAGGGUAGCAGUUCCAGCCACUUAGUAGGCUGAAACAGGAGGAUGGCUUAAGCUCAGGAGUUUGAGACCAGCCUGGGCUAAAUAAUGAGACCCCAUCUCUUAAAAAUAUAUACAAAAUAUAUAAACAAAAAUAAAGCUUACAAUUUUUUUCAACAACAACCUUGUGUAUAGUUCAAACGGAUUUUGUACCCCAUACCUUAGUAACCUACUCAAUGUCAUAUAAGCCUUUCUACCUUUCAGAGUAUCUUCUUGUCAUUCCUUCUUAAAAUGCUCCUCCCAAAUCCUAUUCUGUCUUUUUUUACUACUUUUGAUCUGAACUGUCCAAUAUGUGACUUUGUCCAUAUGUGUCCACAUGCAACUAUUGAGCCCUUGAAAUAUGGCUAGUUCAAAACUGAGAUACACUGUAAGUAUAAUACUGCAUACUGGAUUUUGAACAAUUAGGACAAAAAGAAUAUUAAAUAUAUUCUUAAAAUUAAUUACAUGUUAAAAUGGUAUGUUGGAUAUAUUUGGUUAAAUGAAACUUUAUUAAAAUGAAUUAGCCCUGUUUCUUAUUUUUUUUUUUGUUUUUUGUUUUUAAUUGUGUCUGCUCAAAAAACUAAAAUUACACAAGUGGUUCACAUUUGUAUCUUGAGUAAUAUUUCCAUGGAGAGCACAAAAAUAGAUCCUGAUGAAAGAAUAUAUCCAUCUUAAAACUUUUCUUGAAGAUCUAAAUCAGCUACAGUGACUUUCUUUCUUUUGUAGGGAAGGGAAAAAUAUCUUUUCCUAACCCAUCUGCCUAUCCGAGGUUCUUAGCUGAGACACCUAUAACCAAAGGUAGAUAAACAUACAAAUUUCUUUAAAUAAGUUUUAUGAACACAGAACCCCUCACAAGAAAAUGGAGACCAGAAAAAACAGUUAAACUUGUGUAUGCUUAUGCCUGGAUUGAUGAAGAGUAGACAGUCAUGGAGAAAUAUGAUUGGACAAAAGUUAUGGAAAUAAACUGGGGAAACAGCAAGGCCUGUUUGUUCAGAUUUUUCUGUGUGGCUCUUUGUCUUGAGAUGAGAAUGUGCCUUUCUUCUGGGUAUAAGGAGGGUACCUCUUACAUAAGGUCUUAUAACCAGCUUGAGGGGAGAAGGGCAAGGGGAAGGUGAGAGUGACCUCCUAGCUUCUGCUAUUUUUCCAAAUGCCAAGCUGCCAUAUUUCAGUGUAGCAUGACCUGAACCCCAUCACUCCACAUCACCUUACUCUAUAAAUUCAUUUUGCUAUUUUUUCUAUUUAUAUUAGUCCAUUUUCAUACGCUAUGAAGAAAUACCUGAGACUGGGCAAUUUAUAAAGAAAAAGAGGCUUAAUAGACUCACAGUUCCACAUGGCUAGGGAGGUCUCACAAUCAUGGUGGAAGGUGAAAGAGGAGAAAAGCCACGUUUUACGUGGCAGCGGGCAAAAGAGUGUGUACAGGGGAACUCUCCUUUAUAAAACCAUCAGAUCUCAUUAGACGUAUUCACUAUUCACUAGCACCAGGGGAAAAACCCAUCCCCAUGCUUCAAUUACCUCCCACUGGGUCCCUCCCAUGACAUGUGGAGAUUGUGGGAGCUACAAUUCAAGAUAAGAUUUGGGGGGUAACACAGCCAAACCAGGUUACUAUUGUAUAUCAUUAUAUUAAUGAUGCUUAUCUGAAACAAUUGUCCUGUCUUAAUAGGUACAAAGCUUUUAAAAUUACAGAAUAUUUGUUAUUUCUCUGAGACCUCCCUACAGUACUUUGCAGUCUACUUUGUACAGAUUACACAUUCUAUGAACUGUUUUAACUGAUUUUGGACAGUGAGGUUUCUGAGGAAGACAUUGAUGGCAGGCUGCUUUGAUUUGUGAUUGUUGUAUCUAUUCUGGGCUCUCACCAAAUGCUCACUGGAGUAGACAUUUCAGAGUAUAAAAAAAAGUUAAAAAUUCAAAAACACAAAAGGCACUCAAAUAAACCAGGAUUUGAAAAUCACCAAUUUCAAUUUUUCUAAACUCUUAAUGAGAACCUCACCUGGUCUAUAAUUGAAGAUCAACCAAAGGUCAUGCAGAAAAACAAAAUAGAAUGUAACAAGUAAGCUCUUCUACUAUUUCAUGCUUAGGUACAUUGACAGCGGGCCUCAUAGAAAUGGGGCUAAUCUAAAAAUAAAUAUCCAUAUUUUGGUUUGAAGAAAUAAUUAUCCUAUGCAAGUUCUUAGACCCAUCUCUAGGAAUACUGAAAGACAGAUAUUUUUCUCACACAAGUAAAUAUUCUACCAUGUUUCAAAAAAAAGUGAAAGACAAUAAAAAUGGUAUUGGAAAGAGUGUGCUAAAGAUGACCAUCUGUUCUCCAGGAGGUGAAAGAAAAGGAGCUUAAAAUUACACUAAGGGACAUAGUAUGUUUACAAAGUAUACUAAUACUACAGAGACUGCUGGAGAAGGCAUUAAAGAAGUGUGCAGGGAAGCAGCAAUCAACUGUGCCCUAAAGCAGACAGGAGAAGCCAAGUGUAUGGCAAGGAUUGGGUCAAAGACCCUUCUGGGAAGUCAGCACACCCCUGCCUGAUUCAGGAUUUGCUGGGAGAGGCAGUUCAAAAAUCUAAGACUUUACUGGAUUGUCAUUGUCCACACACAAUCUGCUUAGUGAAACUUUCUAA